CGUGGUUGGUUGUGUGUUUUGUGUUGUUUUAACGAAAAGUCACUUCGGUGGCUAAUGUGACGUUUGAAAUUCCAGUUGAAUUGUCUCGUUCAAGUUUGGGGCACCAUAUGCCAAUAUAUUUCUUUCAUUUUAUCCGAUGAUGCACUACAGUGCCAGAUUGGGAUAAGGUUAGGUCCCAAAUAGGAUCCCCAGCAUUGACUUCAGCAUCCAGUCAAGAUACCAGACUCGAUAAUAAAUAGCAUGGAAUAUUGGUUUGAAAAUUGUAUCUAGAUGUAAUUGGUGUUUAUCGAGACUUAUCUACAGUUUCUGAUGUCCAACACCUCCUACAUAUAAUACGUUGCCACUCUUGGACUACAAUGAUGUGCAGACAAUGAUAUGGGCACAUUUCCACACUGGACUUUUACAUGUAACCGAGCUUUUUGCCGAAUUGGUCGAGGAGGAUAAGGGAGUACCUGUGGAUAAUAUGUUAUCAUCUUCAAGGCAAGAUGUUCAUUCUAACCCCAUUAAAUCAAUAUU